UCGUAUAUCCCUGCAAUUUGCUUAAGCAAUUACCAAGGUUGUUAGAAUAUUAGAGAGAAAUGGAUGCGCCCAGACAUCUUGUAGCUUCUGUCUUGCUGUUAUUGCUGAUUUUUACCAUAUCUCGAUAUCCUAGAGCGGUGGAAGCCAGGCCAUUGACGCUUCAACAAGGAAAUUCAAAAAGGUUUUUUGCCACCCUGGGACUGGAAUGCAAGUGUUGUGAUGGUGCGAAAGGAGAAUGCAGAAGCUCUUGGGAGUCAUCAUGCCCAAAGCUGAAGUGCCAUCCAUGGAAAUCCCACUGAUUUAAUUAAUUAAUACUCCAUAUGCCUUCGCUUUCAAGUCUUUAUGCUCUUGUUACACUUACACUUAAUAUUUUCGUUUAUGGAUGUGUACUCAAUAAACAACUGUGGCAUUUGUAUUAUUGAUAUCAGAUAAUAUAUAAAGUGUAAUUUUAAUAAACUUCUCAAGAAGAAAUAUAUGACAGAGCUAGACAACGUGUUUUUCUUUGCUGAGAAAGACAAUAUGUCGAUGAACUCGUGUUUUAUUAAGGUCAUGAGUAGCAAUGAAAAAAUAAUAGAAUCUAGAUUAAUAUCGGAA